GUCCCAGUAGCGCAGUGGAUUGCACGUUGGACUUCUACUCCAAAGGUCGUGGGUUCGAAUCCCACCUGGGAUG
rnacentral:tRNA from 1 species